rnacentral:sRNA from 1 species
UGGUCUGGUGGACUCUAGGUCCAUAUACC